rnacentral:rRNA from 1 species
ACAUGUUGGAUCCUGCCCUAGUAACGGCGAGUGAAGCGGCAACUAGCUCAAAUCUGAAAGCUGGCCUUCGGGUCCGCAUUGUAAUUUGUAGAGGAUGCUUUGGGGCAGCCGCCUGUCUAAGUUCCUUGGAACAGGACGUCAUAGAGGGUGAGAAUCCCGUAUGUGACAGGACAUGGCACCCUAUGUAAAGCUCCUUCGACGAGUCGAGUAGAAAAAAGAAAGCAGCUCUAAAUGGGAGGUAAAUUUCUUCUAAAGCUAAAUACCGGCGAGAGACCGAUAGCGCACAAGUAGAGUGAUCGAAAGAUGAAAAGCACUUUGGAAAGAGAGUUAAAAAGCACGUGAAAUUGUUGAAAGGGAAGCGCUUGCAAUCAGACUUGUUUUGACUGUUCGGCCGGUCUUCUGACCGGUUUACUCAGUCUGGACAGGCCAGCAUCAGUUUUGGCGGCCGGAUAAAGGCUCAGGGAAUGUGGCUCUCACUUCGGUGGGAGUGUUAUAGCCCUGGGUGUAAUACGGCCAGCCGGGACUGAGUGUGCCGCGCUUCGAGCUAGGAGGUGAACUGAGACCGUAAUGGUUGUAAGCG